rnacentral:lncRNA from 1 species
GGCUCACUUAAGGAAGCUGUAGAGAUGAGCCCAAGGAGGGAAACCAGAAGAGCCCCCCAGGCUCGCCAGUUGUUUGUUGGCUCCCUACAAACAUGUCAUUCAAGUGGCUAAUCUUACAACAGCACAAAUUCAUCUAACCAGCAGAAAGAGAAGAGGAGGCUCCAAAGGCACUUGACUACUGAGCAUCACCCUGGACGUGUACAAGUCUGCGUCCUUAUUGUUUUCUUCAUUGGGCCGAACUUUCUGGUCCUCAUCCAACAGCUCUUCUAUCACGUGUUCGAAAGUGUCAGCCAACGAUGUCAAGCCUCUUGAACCUGCCUUGGGCCCAUUCACGCUCUCCAGAGUCCCAUGGGUCCGCACACCUGGAGAUACUCUAUUAUAGCAAAGAAGAAAGAUAAUUUCAUUGAGCCAUCCUGUUUUACAGAAUCCCUUCAAAGCCUGGUGGUCUGACACCCUAUGCUACGUGACUCGUGACCCAUCCAUUUGUCAUGUUGUUUGGGAAUGUGGCUAAGGGGCUGAGAUGUGACUUGAAAAGAAAGGUAGAACCAGAUCAUCUCAAAUUUAUUAUCAAGGAAUAGUUCAGACAACGACUUCCGACCACAGAGACAGCAGAACAGAUGGUCCGACAUGGAUAGAGCAUCAGACACUCACAGACUGUGCCAACAAGAGCCAUCGAGUCAAAACCGCCAAAGGAAGGAGGGUCAUGGAAUGGGUUCUCUCACACCAAACUGAUGCCCAGAGGCCCUUGGCAUGAAUAACAAAGGCAACCAGACCCACAAGCCAUACUGAGUGGAUACAAAACCUAUACCUAGGCUGACAUCCCAAAUGUGUGUGGCAAGUUAGAUGAUGAUGGCACAAAAGACAGAACACCUUGCUUCUGGCCAUUGUCAGCUCUUGGAAGAGAGCACACUUUUAGAGGAGUAGCUGCAAGGAGCCUGAGAACAAAACUAGAAAUGUCUGUUAUGAAAGCCUUCGCAGGUAUUAUUAACAAAAGAAAAUGUGUAUUUGUCAAUGGUGUUUCAGCUAGAUUUUGGCAGUCCAUUCUUAUGCCCAGGAAUGACCUCUUGUGUAGACUGGAUACAGUCAUCAAUGCAACUGUCCAGGUGCAACUCUUCUAUAAAGGGGAAGAGGAGUGACUU